UCAAACAAAAUUAAUAGAAGAUGUACAUAUUUCGAGCAGAACAAACAAACAAAUUUAGUCGAUGAAGCUCACGAAACCAUUUGAGCCCUAAAGGCAAAGAGUGAACUUCAGGCAAGGAGCAGCCCCACAUAUAACUUUUAACUGGCUGCUUCUAUUUGAACUUAUCCAAGCCUUUUCCAAAAAAUUUAAUCCACCAAAAUUACAAUAAGAAUAACAUUUAUUUCAAGCAACCAUUUCUUUAAACAUAGUAAAACACACACUUUAGUAUAUUAAUUGCAGCCCAGCCUGUGAAACAUAUGUUUCCAUUCAAAGUCUAGACGGUUGCAAUUUGACAUAAUCCCGAGGAUUGAAUGACAAACUUUUCAUAAAAGAAAGCUUUCCUUUACUGAUAAAACUACUCCCAUUGUUUGAAAAAGUAUAAAAAAUUGUAAACUAAUCUAAUACUAAGCAAUUACAGACUUAUAUAAAUUAGCAUAAAGACCCUUGUUCCAUUUGAACGUGACUUGUCCAUAGCCUCAUCUUCUUUCCUUAAAGUUUAGAUCCCACCUUAAAGCUUUCAAAACUAAAUGAUCCAGCCAACUGGUGGUUGAAGCAACGGUUAAAGAUCAUUACCAAAAAAGAAAAAUUAUGUAAGAGAAUCUGAUGGAAAAGAAAAGAAAUACUACCAAGGGAACAUGGUCAACACUACUAGAUUAAUGAAAUAAAUUGAUCCAACAUUAAAUAAGUAGGGAAAGAAACAAUGUGUUCAUAAGUCUAACCAUAUUAAGGAUCAGCCUUAUAGACAGAAAUGAUCCCUAAAACCAUAAUUUGUUUCAUAGAUCUCAUUUCGAUAGAAAAAAAAGGGGAGAGGAGAUAUACUGAAAAUUCAGAUUAUUAUGGACUUCUAAAGGGUGAAUCUGACCAUUGGAAAGGUCAGAUUCAUUUCCAUGUGUGCUUCCAUAGGAAGUAAACUUUGGCCAUUGGUUUCACAAAUCCAUACAUACACUAAUUUAGCAAUCUUGAAUAUGAAUGUUUGCAUAUAAGUAUAACACAAGCUUACAUACUUCAUGGCUUCAACUCAAGCAAACAUUUAAUCCAGAUAAUAGUCAUGACUUCCAAACAAAACUACCAAAGACUAACUAAACAAACAAGUUUCAAAUGCAAAUUUUCAAACACAAAAAACUAAUUAAAUUCAAUAGGAGCAUUGUACAUAACGUAAAGCUGAAAAUAUGAAUAAAGAAUGACCAAAUAAAGGUCAAGAACACUAGAAGAGAAAUAAAACCCAAACUUCACCAAUAGAACAACAAACAAGCAACAUUAAAACCAGAAAGCUAGCCCAUGGAUGGAUAACCCAAAAACCAACUGCAAACAAGAAGAUUCAGCUAGAAAACUAAGGAAAUAUUCUACUAAAACCAUUGUUUUUACUUGCACAGAAUCAGAAAAAUGAGAAUGAAAGGUUUUUGAGUUUUUUUUUUCCGGAAAUUUCUCCAAAUCGGAAAUUUUCAGAGCAGUGAAUGUUUUGAAGUAGUUUUGAUGAAAAAGUCCUCAUAUGAGAGUGAGGGAGUCUAUCUUUAUAUAGAGUGCACAAAAGAGCAUGAAAUGUAAUAUUCUAAAAUAGAAUCUGACAUUCAGAAUAGUACAUCAAUUUUUAAAGCUUGCUGUCCUUUUUCCUUAUCCAAUACCCAUAUUGGCUAAGGAUAGGGACAUCUGUCCUUAGUUCUAGAAUUUUCUAAUUUUUAGCCUAAGUAAAUAUUCAAUUUUACCCAUUAAGUUAUCCUUUAUGUAGGUUUACCUAGUCUUUCUAGUUCAAAUGAGCACCCUAAAAUGUUAUUGGUUUUCAUAUCAGGGCAAGCAAUUAGAAAAAAAUUAAAGGUGAAGCAAGUGUGAAUAGAACAGUGAAAAUUUAGAAAGAAAUUUUGCCAAUUGAAUUUGGCCCAGCUAUCUUUACUUAAACUGUUUUUUCCUAAUUAAUUAGGACAAUCAUAAGGAAUACUUAAUAUCUAAACUUACAGGUGGAAGAAGAGAACAUUUAAUCAAGAUGGAAUGAAUGCAAUUUUUGCACAGAAACUUGGCAAUUACAAAUUAAAAUAAUAAUAAAAAAUAAAUUAUGAAGGAACAACUAUUGGUCUAGAAUAAAGAAGCUAUGAAAAACCAAUUCAACAAAAAAAUCUAAACAAACCUAAACUUAAACGAAUUACACAUGCUUUAAUUAAACGGACGUCAAGGAAUAACUAACUGUCACAAGAGGGAGAACAGAGGAAAACUUAACAUGCUGCAAAAAUAAAGAAAAAUCAAACAUGCAUAGAAGGGGCAAAACAAAAAUUAAACAAUCAAAAAGAGAAAGAAAAGGGUUUACUCGGUUGAAAUCAACACUGGAUAAAAAAUAAUGCACUGCCCGAAACUCCUGAUAUGUGAUAUGGACUUUGGAAUAACAUUAAUUGACCGUUCCUAAAAAGAACAUCCAUUUAAUGGAUAUCCUUAAAUGCACUAGAAUAAACCCAGACCAGGAAAAGAAGAGGAGGAAUCUUUUUUUUUUGUCUAAACACCUAGAUCUAAAAUUCAAUGCGCUCAAGGUUGAAUCAAAAGGGAUUAAAUGUGGUUUAUGGUUCUGAUAAGGGUAAGGAUAAAAUGUUGUGAAUUUUGAGCUUUUUCGGUGACUUAACGUUUUGGGCUGACUCCUUCGAUUCAAUAUUAGAGAGGCUCAAAUGUGAUUCGAGGAAUGAGGAAUGUGGAUUUAUAAUGAGGGGUGAAGGAGAGUACAAGGUGUGAAAAUGAUGGUGAUUGCCCACUGGCUACCGCCGUAGGCGAUUUGCAGUGGGCGGCAGGCGGCGAUUUUGGGGGCAGCGUUAUAUCAGUCUCUAAGAGGGUGAUGAGGGAACAUACCUGGGGGGAGGGGGAGGGUAGGGUUCGUU
rnacentral:lncRNA from 1 species